UUUAGACACAAGAAGAGGUGGGAGUUGGAGCUCCGGCAGAUUGUUAGCUGCACCUGCAUGGAGAUAAGAACAUACUCAAAGGUUUAAGUAAAGCUUAAUUGUUGUUCGAUUAUGUCCCAUCCCUUUUGCUUGUCUGUUAAAACAUGACCGUUGAUAUGAUUCAGAGGCACUUAAACUUCAACACCACAACACUGCAGUACCAAAUAUGGUUUAGCACCUGUGGAUUCUUCAUUUAUAUGCAAGAUUUGUAAGCACAGAUUAAAGUAAACAGUAAUUAAUUCAAUUAAACAUCUGUGUUUGCACAAUGUGAGAUUAAAUUUAUAUAUUUAUUUAUUUAUUUUUUAUCUCAAUUCCACAGACUGUCUGCAGCUUGCAUCCCUUUCAGCUCCAUUCAGUGCAGAGAAUAUUCAGCACCACGGACAGCGAAGUGGAGCAGGUUCAGCCCAGGUGAACGAGGGGAAACUUGCUCAAGUAUAAUACUUUAGAUAUACAAUAUUCAAGUUUCCCAUUAGACAUACCUGAAUAAAGCUUUAUUAUAGUGAAACCAUAAGCUUUAAUUAACUCUCUCUGCUGGGGUGAUGUAAAACUUACCAUGCCUCCUGAGAUGGACUCUGGGACAUCCUUAAAGGUGAUGAUAGGAGCUUUGUGUGGCAUGAGUAACCAAGACCUCACUUGUAAAGUGCUUUUCUUUUCCUUUAAUACCCUAAAGUGUCCUAAUACAGCUCACUGCUUUCACGGAGCAGCAGGAUUACUUGAGUAUGCUGGAUUGGCGCUCACUCACUUUGUUUUAUCUCUCUCUCUUUUGUGUUUUGUUUGAGCUGUGAGCAGCUAAAUGUAAUUAUUUUCAUUUUAUGUUCCCUAAUUGUUCAUUUUGCAAAACACAGUCCAGAGAUAGAUUUUGUAUUUUUACUUGUACAUUUAUUUCAAGCAAAAUGUUAUUAAAAAAACAAAAUACAAAAAGACUUGUGUGGCAAGACAGAGG